rnacentral:rRNA from 1 species
GUGGGGAAUAUUGGACAAUGGGCGAAAGCCUGAUCCAGCCAUGCCGCGUGUGUGAAGAAGGUCUUCGGAUUGUAAAGCACUUUAAGUUGGGAGGAAGGGCAGUAAGUUAAUACCUUGCUGUUUUGACGUUACCAACAGAAUAAGCACCGGCUAACUUCGUGCCAGCAGCCGCGGUAAUACGAAGGGUGCAAGCGUUAAUCGGAAUUACUGGGCGUAAAGCACGCGUAGGUGGUUUUGUAAGUUGGAGGUGAAAUCCCCGGGCUCAACCUGGGAACUGCCUCCAAAACUGCAUGACUAGAGUACGGUAGAGGGUAGUGGAAUUUCCUGUGUAGCGGUGAAAUGCGUAGAUAUAGGAAGGAACACCAGUGGCGAAGGCGACUACCUGGACUGAUACUGACACUGAGGUGCGAAAGCGUGGGGAGCAAACAGGAUUAGAAACCCCGGUAGUCC